GAUGAACGCUGGCGGCGUGCCUAACACAUGCAAGUCGAACGUUAGGAUUUAGCAAUAAAUCCAAAAGUGGCGAACGGGUGAGUAACACGUAGGUAACCUGCCGCGCAGAGGGGGAUAACGACUGGAAACGGUCGCUAAUACCGCAUGGUACUAAGCGCAAUGGGAUGCGCUUGGUUAAAACUUUGGUGCUGCGCGAGGGG
rnacentral:rRNA from 1 species